UACAGAGGUGGCAAGCUUUGUUCGGAAUUACUGGGCGUAAAGGGCGCGUAGGCGGCCUACUAAGUCAGACGUGAAAUCCCCCGGCUUAACCUGGGAACUGCGUCUGAUACUGGAAGGCUUGAGGAUGGGAGAGGGAUGUAGAAUUCCAGGUGUAGCGGUGAAAUGCGUAGAUAUCUGGAGGAAUACCGGUGGCGAAGGCGGCAUCCUGGACCAUUACUGACGCUGAGGCGCGAAAGCGUGGGGAGCGAUCCGG
rnacentral:rRNA from 1 species